AAAUGUGGAGCCGUAGCGAAAGCGAGUCUGAAUAGGGCGUAUAGUAUUUGGUCGUAGACCCGAAACCAGGUGAUCUACCCAUGGUCAGGUUGAAGUUCAGGUAACACUGAAUGGAGGACCGAACCGACUUACGUUGAAAAGUGAGCGGAUGAACUGUGGGUAGCGGAGAAAUUCCAAUCGAACUUGGAGAUAGCUGGUUCUCUCCGAAAUAGCUUUAGGGCUAGCCUCAAGUGAUGAUUAUUGGAGGUAGAGCACUGUUUGGACGAGGGGCCCCUCUCGGGUUACCGAAUUCAGACAAACUCCGAAUGCCAAUUAAUUUAACUUGGGAGUCAGAACAUGGGUGAUAAGGUCCGUGUUCGAAAGGGAAACAGCCCAGACCACCAGCUAAGGUCCCAAAAUAUAUGUUAAGUGGAAAAGGAUGUGGCGUUGCCCAGACAACUAGGAUGUUGGCUUAGAAGCAGCCAUCAUUUAAAGAGUGCGUAAUAGCUCACUAGUCGAGUGACACUGCGCCGAAAAUGUACCGGGGCUAAACAUAUUACCGAAGCUGUGGAUUGUCCUUUGGACAAUGGUAGGAGAGCGUUCUAAGGGCGUUGAAGCAUGAUCGCAAGGACAUGUGGAGCGCUUAGAAGUGAGAAUGCCGGUGUGAGUAGCGAAAGACGGGUGAGAAUCCCGUCCACCGAUUGACUAAGGUUUCCAGAGGAAGGCUCGUCCGCUCUGGGUUAGUCGGGUCCUAAGCUGAGGCCGACAGGCGUAGGCGAUGGAUAACAGGUUGAUAUUCCUGUACCACCUAUAAUCGUUUUAAUCGAUGGGGGGACGCAGUAGGAUAGGCGAAGCGUACGAUUGGAUUGUACGUCUAAGCAGUGAGAUUGAGUGUUAGGCAAAUCCGGCACUCUUAAGAUUGAGCUGUGAUGGGGAGAGGAAAUUGUUUCCUCGAGUCGUUGAUUUCACACUGCCGAGAAAAGCCUCUAGAUAGAGAUUAGGUGCCCGUACCGCAAACCGACACAGGUAGUCAAGAUGAGAAUUCUAAGGUGAGCGAGCGAACUCUCGUUAAGGAACUCGGCAAAAUGACCCCGUAACUUCGGGAGAAGGGGUGCUCUUUAGGGUGCAAGCCCAGAAGAGCCGCAGUGAAUAGGCCCAAGCGACUGUUUAUCAAAAACACAGGUCUCUGCUAAACCGUAAGGUGAUGUAUAGGGGCUGACGCCUGCCCGGUGCUGGAAGGUUAAGAGGAGUGGUUAGCUUCUGCGAAGCUACGAAUCGAAGCCCCAGUAAACGGCGGCCGUAACUAUAACGGUCCUAAGGUAGCGAAAUUCCUUGUCGGGUAAGUUCCGACCCGCACGAAAGGCGUAACGAUUUGGGCACUGUCUCAACGAGAGACUCGGUGAAAUCAUAGUACCUGUGAAGAUGCAGGUUACCCGCGACAGGACGGAAAGACCCCGUGGAGCUUUACUGUAGCCUGAUAUUGAAAUUCGGCACAGCUUGUACAGGAUAGGUAGGAGCCUUUGAAACGUGAGCGCUAGCUUACGUGGAGGCGUUGGUGGGAUACUACCCUAGCUGUGUUGGCUUUCUAACCCGCACCACUUAUCGUGGUGGGAGACAGUGUCAGGCGGGCAGUUUGACUGGGGCGGUCGCCUCCUAAAAGGUAACGGAGGCGCUCAAAGGUUCCCUCAGAAUGGUUGGAAAUCAUUCAUAGAGUGUAAAGGCAUAAGGGAGCUUGACUGCGAGACCUACAAGUCGAGCAGGGUCGAAAGACGGACUUAGUGAUCCGGUGGUUCCGCAUGGAAGGGCCAUCGCUCAACGGAUAAAAGCUACCCCGGGGAUAACAGGCUUAUCUCCCCCAAGAGUUCACAUCGACGGGGAGGUUUGGCACCUCGAUGUCGGCUCAUCGCAUCCUGGGGCUGUAGUCGGUCCCAAGGGUUGGGCUGUUCGCCCAUUAAAGCGGUACGCGAGCUGGGUUCAGAACGUCGUGAGACAGUUCGGUCCCUAUCCGUCGUGGGCGUAGGAAAUUUGAGAGGAGCUGUCCUUAGUACGAGAGGACCGGGAUGGACAUACCUCUGGUGUACCAGUUGUCGUGCCAACGGCAUAGCUGGGUAGCUAUGUAUGGACGGGAUAAGUGCUGAAAGCAUCUAAGCAUGAAGCCCCCCUCAAGAUGAGAUUUCCCAACUUCGGUUAUAAGAUCCCUCAGAGAUGAUGAGGUUAAUAGGUUCGAGGUGGAAGCGUGGUGACACGUGGAGCUGACGAAUACUAAUCGAUCGAAGACUUAAUCAAUUU
rnacentral:rRNA from 1 species